AGGUAGCAUAAUCAUUUGUUAUCUAAAUGAUAACUAGUAUGAAUGGUCUGACGAGAAAAUAACUUUCUAAAAAGAAGAGAUAAAAAUUUAUUUUAAAGUAAAAAAGCUUUAUAGCCUUAGAAAGACGAGAAGACCCUAGAACCUGUUCUAUUCCUAUAGUUUGUUGGGGUGACAUUAUUCAAAACAAAUAACUAUUAAAACUUAUUAAUUGACUCUAUCUAUCUUUAUUAAAAAAAAAAAAGGUACUCUAGGGAUAACAGCAUAAUCUUCUUCUAGAGCCCUAAUCGACAAGAAAGAUUUUGACCUCGAUGUUGAAUUGAUAUUUCUUUCUAAAGCAGAA
rnacentral:rRNA from 1 species